rnacentral:rRNA from 1 species
UACGAAGGGUGCAAGCGUUACUCGGAAUUACUGGGCGUAAAGCGUACGUAGGCGGUUAUUCAAGUCCGAGGUGAAAGCCCGGGGCUCAACCCCGGAACGGCCUUUGAAACUAGGUAGCUAGAGUCUUGGAGAGGUUAGUGGAAUUCCGAGUGUAGAGGUGAAAUUCGUAGAUAUUCGGAAGAACACCAGUGGCGAAGGCGACUAACUGGACAAGUACUGACGCUGAGGUACGAAAGCGUGGGGAGCAAACAGG